AAGAAAAAAAGAAAAAAAAAAGGAGAUCAAGGAAGCUUACGUCUUCAAAAAAUGUAUCUGAGAAAAAACAUCAAACAGCUUCCCUCCAUUUCCAUUACCAAAUCUUUAUCAUUCCUUAGCCCUUUUCGUCGCUUUUCUUCUUCUCUUUCCAUUCUCUCAGCUAACAGCUCGACAUCUGAUCCAGACCCAUAUUCUCUUUUAAAACAGGACCCGAUUGACAUCUGCCUUUCAAUCUGGGUCAAAUCCUUCUCUUCACCACCCACCGCCACUUUCCCAAACCUCACUGGCUUCCUCUCGAAAUUCGACCUUUGGGUAUUAGCUUACCAACGCUCCUGCGCUCACGUGACCGGCACGUUUCCUCCCCGCAAUGCCAUCCAUUCCCAGACCCUGCAUUCCCUUCUAUCCCUCCAAAAUGCCGUCGUUCACGGCCGCCGUUUCAAGUGGCACAACAAGACCAAUCAGCUUAUUCGUAGCCCAAACGACAAGCCGUCAACGAGUUUAAUCUCAAAGAGGAAACUUCAAGCUAUGCUUGAAUCCCCUGACGCCUGUUUCCAAGACCGGGUUGUUCAAGAGGUUCUCUUGAUGGUCUUGGAACCGAUUUUUGAACGCCGAUUUUCUAGCAAAUCUCAUGCCUUUAGGCCUGGAAGGAGUGCCCAUACCGUUAUCCGGACUAUUCGGAGUAACUUUGCUGGGUAUCUGUGGUUUUUAAAAGGUGACCUGAGUGCGUUAUUUGAUAAUGUGGAUGUAGAUGUAAUCUUGGGUUCUGUCGAAAAGGUUGUAAAAGAUAAGAAAGUUUUGAAUUUGAUUAAAUCCGGGCUUAACGUGCGUGUUAAGAAGAGAUUAAAGAGUGAUGAUGAUGGUGGUGGAGGUGGAGAUUUGAAGAGCAAGAGAAAGAAAAAGAGAACGGCUACUAAGAAGAAGAUUUUGAAUGAGAACGAGCCAAAACCCGACCCCUAUUGGUUGAGGACUUUCUUUGAUUUUUCUCCUGAGGAAGCUGCUAAGGUACCUUCUUAUGGUUAUUGUGGAAUUUUAAGUCCUUUACUUGCUAAUGUGUGUCUUAAUGAAUUGGACCAAGUGAUGGAAGAGAAGAUAAUUAAGUUCUUUAGGCCAUCUAAGCAUGAUUCCAUAUGGAAAGAUACAAUUAAUGAUGGAUGUCAUAACCCUUCUUGGCCUGAGUUUGUUCCGUCUAGUGGUAGAGAGAAAACUAGGAAAAUGGAUUACAUAAGAUAUGGAGGCCAUUUUUUGAUUGGCAUUCGAGGACCCAGAGAGGAUGCAGUGCAAAUUAGAAAGGAAAUAAUUGAGUUUUGUGAGAGUGAAUUUGGGAUACGGUUGGAUAAUUCUAAAGUGGAGAUAGAACAUAUUAGUAGAGGAAUUCAAUUCUUGGACCAUAUAAUUUGUAGGAGAGUGAUACACCCUACCCUUCGUUACACUGCUAGUGGAGGCAAUAUUGUGAGCCAAAAGGGUGUAGGGACUUUGCUUUCGGUUACAGCUAGCUUACAGCAAUGUAUUCGUAAGUUCAGGCAGCUUCAGUUUGUCAAGGGUGACAAGGAUCCCGAGCCUCUGCCUUGUACCCCAAUGCUCUACUCGAGUCAAGCUCAUACAAAUUCACAGAUGAAUAAGUUUCUUGAGACCAUGGCUGAUUGGUACAGAUAUGCUGACAAUCGAAAGAAAGUUGUUGGCUUUUGUGCUUAUGUGAUUCGUAGUUCAUUAGCUAAACUGUAUGCUGCAAGGUAUAGGCUAAAAUCUCGAGCCAAGGUGUAUAAGAUAGCUUCACGUGAUCUUAGUCGUCCAUUGAGGGAGAGCAGCAACAAUUCUGCACCCGAAUACUCUGACCUUUUAAGGAUGGGACUUGUUGAUGCAAUUGAACGUGUUCAGUUCUCACACAUGUCUCUGAUUCCAUCUUGUGAUUACACUCCAUUUUCUAGGAAUUGGGUACCAGACCAUGAGCAGCUUUUGCAUGAGUAUAUUAGACUACAAGACCCAAAAUUCUUCUGCAACUUGCAUAGAGCUAUAAAACGUGAAGGCCUAAGUUUGCCUCAAGAUGAGAUAUCUGGGAUUGUGUGGGAUUAUAAGACUCUGGGAAUUUGGAGAUAUCGUUAUAAUAGUGGCAAAGAAACAAAAGAGGUUUCAGAAUAAAAGGUAGGGAAGUUUGCAGUUUUUCCCAGUAGUAUAUAAUAGUUUGUGCUUGGUUUUCCUACCUCAUGUUACAAUUGUUGUCUACAAGCUAAUUUAUGCCAUGAAAGUGGGCAAUCUUUGAUCCUUUGCUGCUUGGGGAAAAAUCAUUUUAGUAAUCUGUCUUUUCUCCAAACAGAUAAAAGAACAAAUACUUCACUUGAGCAUCAUUGGAAAAAAUGUCUUGAAGGAUCCAAUGAAUCUGCUAAAGUUUCACUUGGAAUGCAAAGGGACCCAUGUUCAAUCCUGCCUACAUCAAAGUUUCACUUGGAAUGAAUCUGCUAGCUCUUACUGCAUAUUCCAGUGUUAGAAACAACUGAGAUUCUUUUAACAUAGGAAAAUGAAUGUAAAAAAUCUUGGUUUUAAUCAUGGAAGAAAAUCUGUUGUCAUUGCUGCCAUAAAAAGUAGCAAUUGUUGCCGCAGCAUCAUAGUUAAAGAGGGAAGAAGAUGUGAGUUUGCUGGUAGAUCCCAGGUGAGAUUUUCAGAAAUUUGUCUGGUUUUAAUUCUUAAUUUUAUGGUGAAUGAGGCAUUUCAAUCUUUUGAGGAAGAACUCGAGGGGCAAUCAUAGCUUCCUUUAUCAUAAUUAUUUUACCUUGUACAUAUACUAUAUAAUUUUCAUUCAGGAAAAAUCAACAGAAACAAAGUGCAGUUGUCUUUUUAUGAGUCUCAAUGGCACAAGAGAAGUUUCCAUCACAUCCAACCUUAAAGCAAGUUGAUUGAUCUCAAGUUUUGAGCUGCAUAAUUUUUGUCUUCUGCCACUUUUAUAAGAUCCAUUCUUUCUUUUAACUUUUUUCCCUCUUUUCAAUUGCUUUUGAUCUAUUCAUAUGAUUACAUAUAGUCUUAUGACCUUUCUUAUGCUUGUCAUCAAAUUCAUUCCGUUCUUAGUUGUAAAGCACACAUGCGGUCACAUAUAUCAGAAUAUGUUCCAUCAUGAUGAGAUUUUGUAGCUGAAGGUUGACAUUCUAUCUAUGUUUUCAGUCGAACUGUGGGGAGUUUUAAGUGAUCUACAAAGUCAAUUAUAUUGAUUUGUUAAAAUGUUGACAAGGAACUUAGGAACAGUAGUCUGAUUUCUAUAAGAUAGUUUUAUAUAUUUAAGGAAGAAUGAUCCCCAUAGCAUGAGAUAGUGAGUGCAAAAGCGCUGAAUCAAAUGGAAAAAGGUCAUGAUUUUUUUUGGCCAAUAUAGAAAAAGAUGAUGACGAUCAAAGUUAUGAUUAGAGAUACUCUAUUUUUGAGAAGAUACUAGAAACAGAAUAAGAUUUGCAGCAACAUACAGUAAUAAUAAAGAUGAUGAUGGCAGUGAUGAGGAGAUUGCCAAGUUAUUGAAACAAGUCAUAAUGAAAGAUAAUCAACACUCUAGUCUAGAGAAACUGCUAACAUAAUGUCUCAUCUAACAAAUGAAUUUCAUGCAAACAAAAGCUGAAUAUAGUGCUAGAAAAAAGAAAAUAAAAUAAAAAGAGAGAAAGAAAAGGCAGUGGAUAGUUGUAAUAUGCCUUGUAUGAUUUCU